GAUGAAGAACGUAGCGAAAUGCGAUAAGUAAUGCGAAUUGCAGAAUUCAGUGAGUCAUCGAAUCUUUGAACGCACAUUGCGCCCUGUGGUAUUCCGCAGGGCAUGCCUGUUCGAGCGUCAUUUCAACCCUCAAGCUCUGCUUGGUGUUGGGCCCUGCCCGCUGCGGCCGGCCCUAAAGACAGUGGCGGUGCCGCCUGGCCCUGAGCGUAGUACAUCUCUCGCUCCAGUGCCCGGUGGUAGCCUGCCAGAACCCCAACUCUCGUGGUUGACCUCGAAUCAGGUAGGACUACCCGCUGAACUUAAGCAUAUCAAUAAGCGGAGGA
rnacentral:misc_RNA from 1 species